AUUCUAUGUUUUUUAUCUGUGAACACUUGCGUGGGCGGAGCCGAGCGGUUUGCUCAGGGGUCACCGCUGAGCUUUUGGCAGAUGAACCGCAUCUUUUUGGAGCAGUGCAGGUCGUUGAGGCGUCCGUUCCAGUCCAGAGAAACUCAAACUGCGGGUUUACCUGUGGUCCAUGGAGAACGGAGUCUGGUCCACCCACUCCCACGUUCCAGUUCUCCAAUCACUCAGACCCACCCAGAAAAAAUUUGGAACUGUGUGACGGGUCACGAAGUCCUGGACAGAGACCAAGUUUCUAUAACCAACCAUUUAAAGUCUGUCUUUACGCAGAUGACACCGUAGUCUUUGUGAGUUUCUUCAGUAGAGACCAGGUCGUCUUACUGUCUCACCUACAUGACUUCAAAACCAGCCUGUGACACAUGGACUUACCCAGUCCCUGUCCGAGGAGAGUAUGACCAGGUGAGAUUCAUGGUCCUCACACCAGGCUCUGGAAUCAUUCCAGGACAAAGCUGAACGGCUGAAGAAAUAACAACUCAAGCCAGAGAGUUUCCAAUCAGGAGGACAACAACCGUCCAACCCUGAGCCUGCGAGACAGACAGAUCCACAGACAGGUUCACAGACAGGUAC